rnacentral:rRNA from 1 species
UAAGGAAUCUUCCACAAUGGGCGAAAGCCUGAUGGAGCAACGCCGCGUGCAGGAUGAAGGCCCUCGGGUCGUAAACUGCUUUUAUAAGUGAGGAAUAUGACGGUAACUUAUGAAUAAGGAUCGGCUAACUCCGUGCCAGCAGCCGCGGUCAUACGGAGGAUCCAAGCGUUAUUCGGAGUGACUGGGCGUAAAGAGUUGCGUAGGGGGUUUGUUAAGCGAAUAGUGAAAUCUUGUGGCUCAACCAUAAGGCUAUUAUUCGAACUGGCAGACUUGAGAAUAUGAGAGGUAGAUGGAAUUUCUAGUGUAGGAGUGAAAUCCGUAGAUAUUAGAAGGAACACCAAUGGCGUAGGCAGUCUACUGGCAUAUUUCUGACCCUGAGGCACGAAAGCGUGGGGAGCGAACCGG